rnacentral:rRNA from 1 species
CAGUCGCCGCGGUAAAACGGAGGGGGCUAGCGUUGUUCGGAAUUACUGGGCGUAAAGCGCACGUAGGCGGCUUUGCAAGUCAGAGGUGAAAGCCCGGGGCUCAACUCCGGAAUAGCCUUUGAGACUGCAUCGCCUGAACACGGGAGAGGUGAGUGGAAUUCCGAGUGUAGAGGUGAAAUUCGUAGAUAUUCGGAAGAACACCAGUGGCGAAGGCGGCUCACUGGACCGUUGUUGACGCUGAGGAGCGAAAGCGUGGGGAGCAAACAGGAUUAGAUACCCCCGUAGUCCCUGUCUCUUAUAC